rnacentral:rRNA from 1 species
GAUGAACGCUGGCGGCGUGCCUAAUACAUGCAAGUCGAGCGAACGGACGAGAAGCUUGCUUCUCUGAUGUUGGCGGCGGACGGGUGAGUAACACGUGGAUAACCUACCUAUAAGACUGGGAUAACUUCGGAAAACCGGAGCUAAUACCGGAUAAUAUUUUGAACCGCAUGGUUCAAAAGUGAAAGACGGUCUUGCUGUCACUUAUAGAUGGAUCCGCGCUGCAUUAGCUAGUUGGUAAGGUAACGGCUUACCAAGGCAACGAUGCAUAGCCGACCUGAGAGGGUGAUCGGCCACACUGGAACUGAGACACGGUCCAGACUCCUACGGGAGGCAGCAGUAGGGAAUCUUCCGCAAUGGGCGAAAGCCUGACGGAGCAACGCCGCGUGAGUGAUGAAGGUCUUCGGAUCGUAAAACUCUGUUAUUAGGGAAGAACAUAUGUGUAAGUAACUGUGCACAUCUUGACGGUACCUAAUCAGAAAGCCACGGCUAACUACGUG